rnacentral:rRNA from 1 species
GUUUGAUCAUGGCUCAGAUUGAACGCUGGCGGCAGGCCUAAAACACAUGCAAGUCGAACGAGCACAGAGAGCUUGCUCUCGGGUGACGAGUGGCGGACGGGUGAGUAAUGUCUGGGGAAAUGCCUGAUGGAGGGGGAUAACUACUGGAAACGGUAGCUAAUACCGCAUAACGUUCGCAAGCCAAAGAGGGGGACCUUCGGGCCUCUUGCCAUCAGAUGUGCCCAGAUGGGAUUAGCUAGUAGGUGGGGUAACGGCUCACCUAGGCGACGAUCCCUAGCUGGUCUGAGAGGAUGACCAGCCACACUGGAACUGAGACACGGUCCAGACUCCUACGGGAGGCAGCAGUGGGGAAUAUUGCACAAUGGGCGCAAGCCUGAUGCAGCCAUGCCGCGUGUAUGAAGAAGGCCUUCGGGUUGUAAAGUACUUUCAGCGGGGAGGAAGGUGUUGUGGUUAAUAACCGCAGCAAUUGACGUUACCCGCAGAAGAAGCACCGGCUAACUCCGUGCCAGCAGCCGCGGUAAUACGGAGGGUGGCAAGCGUAAUCGGAAUUACUGGGCGUAAAGCGCACGCAGGCGGUCUGUCAAGUCGGAUGUGAAAUCCCCGGGCUCAACCUGGGAACUGCAUUCGAAACUGGCAGGCUGGAGUCUUGUAGAGGGGGGUAGAAUUCCAGGUGUAGCGGUGAAAUGCGUAGAGAUCUGGAGGAAUACCGGUGGCGAAGGCGGCCCCCUGGACAAAGACUGACGCUCAGGUGCGAAAGCGUGGGGAGCAAACAGGAUUAGAUACCCUGGUAGUCCACGCCGUAAACGAUGUCGAUUUGGAGGUUGUGCCCUUGAGGCGUGGCUUCCGGAGCUAACGCGUUAAAUCGACCGCCUGGGGAGUAAACGGCCGCAAGGUUAAAACAAAUGAAUUGACGGGGGCCCGCACAAGCGGUGGAGCAUGUGGUUUAAUUCGAUGCAACGCGAAGAACCUUACCUGGUCUUGACAUCCACAGAACUUUCCAGAGAUGGAUUGGUGCCUUCGGGAACUGUGAGACAGGUGCUGCAUGGCUGUCGUCAGCUCGUGUUGUGAAAUGUUGGGUUAAGUCCCGCAACGAGCGCAACCCUUAUCCUUUGUUGCCAGCGGUCCGGGGCCGGGAACUCAGGAGACUGCCAGUGAUAAACUGGAGGAAGGUGGGGAUGACGUCAAGUCAUCAUGGCCCUUACGACCAGGGCUACACACGUGCUACAAUGGCGCAUACAAAGAGAAGCGACCUCGCGAGAGCAAGCGGACCUCAUAAAGUGCGUCGUAGUCCGGAUUGGAGUCUGCAACUUCGACUCCAUGAGUCGGAAUCGCUAGUAAUCGUAGAUCAGAAUGCUACGGUGAAUACGUUCCCGGGCCUUGUACACACCGCCCGUCACACCAUGGGAGUGGGUUGCAAAAGAAGUAGGUAGCUUUAACCUUGGGAGGGCGCUUACCACUUUG